AUGGCGAACGGUGGCGGAAAGGUAUCGUUCAAGGUGACCCUAACUUCCGAUCCAAAGCUACCCUUCAAAGUGUUCAGCGUUCCUGAGGCUGCACCUUUUACCGCCGUUCUCAAAUUUGCGGCCGAGGAAUUCAAGGUUCCUCCACAAACCAGCGCUAUUAUCACCAAUGAUGGUGUUGGGAUAAAUCCUCAGCAAAGUGCAGGAAAUGUCUUCCUUAAGCAUGGUUCAGAACUACGGCUGAUUCCGCGUGAUAGAGUUGGUGCAUCUGAGAUGUUACAGGAUGUCUGA